GGUGUGAGUGCUGAGCUCCACACACGCUGGGUGACAGCACAGCACUCACAACAUGUCAGAAAGGACUGAGUCAAGCCACAACCAGAAGCCUGUUGGAUAUUUCAGGGUUCACACUGCAUUGUGGUGAUUACUGCUGUGUUGAAGAUAUGGAGGUGAACCACCCAGAAGGUUCUACAUGGAUGGGAUGUCAUCGCUGAGGCUCUUCUGGACAGUUGAAGUGGCCAUACGUAUGGAGAAAUAAAACCCGCAGACUUUCUGUCUCUCUGAAUCCUGUCUUCCACAACACAGGGACCUGGUUGCAGAACUGUUGAAAGUUUGCUGGAGCCUGAAUGGCCCCUUUGGCCUCACGCUGUUGUAUGUGAGACUCUCCAGAUGGGAUCCCACAAUUUGAGCUGUCCUAAUGACCAGCAGUAUCUCUAGAGCCACAAGUGGAAGCCUGUGAUGUGACAGACAGGAAAGUAACAUCAUUAAUAAAGAUAAUGAAGCAGAAGUGUUUGCUAAUGGGUGGCUGCAGUGAAACUGAUGAGAGACGCUUGGAUAUUAAAAAAAAAAAAAGAUGCUAACAGCUGUGUUUUCAUACACAUGUGCUUAAUAAAUCUGCUGAUUAAUUUAAAUAUAAAUAAAUAUAUAUAUAAAUAUUUAAGUCAUUGUUGGGUCUUGUUUGUACUUUAAUUUGUACUUUUCUACAAUGUUCCAUAAUAUCUUCAGAGAUGAACAAAUUACUGUACUUGACCAGGCAGGACAGAUUAAAGUCAGUCUGGCUGCGUCAUGACCACCAGGUGCAUGGGAAAAUAAUAUUUUAUUUUUUAAUUCCAUAUAAACCAGUCUUCACUAAGAUACACUAAGGUCUAAUCUCUAGGCUUUAUUCUUUGGGCCU